rnacentral:rRNA from 1 species
GACGAACGCUGGCGGCGUGCUUAACACAUGCAAGUCGAACGGAAAGGCCCUGCUUUUGUUGGGUGCUCGAUUGGCGAACGGGGGAGUAACACGUGAGUAACCUGUCCUUGACUGUGGGAGAACUUCAGGAAACUGGGGCUAAUACCGGAGAGGAUCUCCUGCUGCAUGGGGGGGGAUGGAAAGUGUCGGCCGUGUGGGAUGGUCUCGCGGCUUAUCAGCUUGUUGGUGGGGUAGGGGCUUACCAAGGCUUUGACGGGUAGCCGGCCUGGGAGGGUGACCGGCCACCUUGCGCCUGAGGUACGGCGCAGACUCCUACGGGCGGCAGCAGUCGGAAACCUUGCGGAAUGGGGCGACGCCUGAUGCAGCGACGCCGCGUGCGGGAUGCCGGCUUUCGGGUUGUAAACCGAUUUCGCCUGUGCCGAAGCGUGAGUGACGGUACUGGGUCAAGAAGCACCGGCUAACUACGUG